rnacentral:lncRNA from 1 species
AUGCUUGGCUCGAUCAAGAUGAGGACUGAUAAGCUGUCUGACAAUCAAUAGUCAAAAUUCCUUCACAAACAUCUAUCAAGGCUCUUAAAAGAUCUUUUUAAGAUCCAAAAAAUCCUAAAAGUGAGACACAAUCUAGAGAGAGAUAUUUUUAGAGGAGUUUGUAGAGAGAGAAAGUAAAAUUUUUUAGAAGAAGAAAGUGGAAAGAGAAAGUGGAAAG